AACGAACGCUGGCGGCGUGCCUAACACAUGCAAGUCGAGCGCGAAUGGAGCAAUCCUAGUAGAGCGGCGCACGGGUGCGUAACACGUGGGUAAUCUGCCUCAAAGAUCGGAAUAACCUGCCGAAAGGCUGGCUAAUGCCGGAUAAGCCUACGAGCUCUUCGGAGCUUGAAGGAAAAGGUGGCCUCUGUACACAAGCUAUCACUUUGAGAUGAGCCCGCGGCCCAUCAGCUAGUUGGCGGGGUAACGG
rnacentral:rRNA from 1 species